UCUAGGGUAAGCUAAGUUAAGCUAUUGGGCUCAUAACCCAAAAAUGACAUUUGUUCUCCUAGAA
rnacentral:tRNA from 1 species